rnacentral:miRNA from 1 species
AAGUGUGUUCCUCUAUUUGACGCU